rnacentral:rRNA from 1 species
GACGAACGCUGGCGGCGUGCCUAAUACAUGCAAGUCGAGCGCAGGAAAUCAUCCGAACCCUUCGGGGGGACGUUGAUGGAAUGAGCGGCGGACGGGUGAGUAACACGUAAAGAACCUGCCCUUAGGUCUGGGAUAACCACGAGAAAUCGGGGCUAAUACCGGAUGGGUCAUCGGACCGCAUGGUCCGAGGAUGAAAGGCGCUUCGGCGUCGCCUGGGGAUGGCUUUGCGGUGCAUUAGCUAGUUGGUGGGGUAAUGGCCCACCAAGGCGACGAUGCAUAGCCGACCUGAGAGGGUGAUCGGCCACACUGGGACUGAGACACGGCCCAGACUCCUACGGGAGGCAGCAGUAGGGAAUCUUCCACAAUGGACGAAAGUCUGAUGGAGCAGCGCCGCGUGAACGAUGAAGGCCUUCGGGUCGUAAAGUUCUGUUGUAAGGGAAGAACAAGUGCCGCAGGCAAUGGCGGCACCUUGACGGUACCUUGCGAGAAAGCCACGGCUAACUACGUGCCAGCCGCCGCGGUAAGAC